rnacentral:rRNA from 1 species
UCCUACGGGGCGCAGCAGUGGGGAAUAUUGCACAAUGGGGGGAACCCUGAUGCAGCGACGCCGCGUGGGUGAAGGAGUACUUCGGUACGUAAAGCCCUAUCAGCAGGAAAGAAAAUGACGGUACCUGACUAAGAAGCCCCGGCUAACUACGUGCCAGCAGCCGCGGUAAUACGUAGGGGGCAAGCGUUAUCCGGAUUUACUGGGUGUAAAGGGAGCGCAGACGGCAGUGCAAGUCUGGAGUGAAAGCCCGGGGCCCAACCCCGGAACUGCCCUGGAAACUGUGCGGCUAGAGUACUGGAGGGGCA